UACGUAGGGGGCAAGCGUUGUCCGGAAUUAUUGGGCGUAAAGCGCGCGCAGGCGGUCCUUUAAGUCUGAUGUGAAAGCCCACGGCUCAACCGUGGAGGGUCAUUGGAAACUGGGGGACUUGAGUGCAGGAGAGGAACGCGGAAUUCCAGGUGUAGCGGUGAAAUGCGUAGAUAUCUGGAGGAACACCGGUGGCGAAGGCGGCGUUCUGGACUGCAACUGACACUGAGAAACGAAAGCCAGGGUAGCAAACGGG
rnacentral:rRNA from 1 species